GCUCAGGACAAACGCCUCCAACGGUCAACCUCCAACCGCCCGGAUUCAAACGGUCGGCCUCCAACCGUCUGCCCCUCAGCGCGGGGAGCGGGUACGGUGACCGGCCGCCACUCUACACCAUUUAUGCCCCAUCCUCCCCCCCCCGUAUCGCUAUCGUUGGCUCUUCGGCGGGAGGGGGGGCGGCGGCGGGGCGGCGGAGGAGACGGUUGAGAGCUCGGGCUCCGGCUCGGGGGGGGGAACCGCAAUCAGCGACGCACUUUCUGUUGUUGCGCCGACCACGGGGUCCUUCCCCGGAACCCUGAGAGCUCGCGGCUCGGUUCCGGCCUCGGCUCCGGCGGUUUCGCUUGAGGGGAAGCUCCGUGACCCGGACCCCCUCGGGGUGGAGGGGGCUGUCACAAUGGCGCCGUCACUGCGCGCUGUUGUGGUCGGCCACAGCUGCCGGAGGUGACCAAGAUGGUGGUGGUGGUGGGGAGGAGGAGGAGGAGAAGGAGGGAGAGGUCGCUACCCCUGAGAGUAUUUCCUGUGAAAGACUUUGGAGACGUCCUCUCCGGGUCAAAAGUUAUGAGUAAACAUCGAAGGCUGAGAGUGAUUGUUUGACAGGGCACAUGACCUGUGGUGAACUAUGACAUCAAGAUCACAGAAGAAAUUUGGAUGCCCAAAGCCCUUCAUCUCAUUAUUCCAGAAUGCCAAACCUACCAAACUUCCAUUACACCAUUAAGUUGUACGUUUGUGGUCCCCUCACUGGCUCUGCUAGAGAUCCAGACUCCAUCGCGAUAUCUGCCAUGAAAAUUGCAAUAUCAAAAGGAGGAACAGCAGCAUAUUCUGGUCCUACCUAUAGUUGUGGGCACGUGCCGGCCAUUGCAGGAUUACCUGCUUAUAGACACCAGUAAAUCUUCAUUCCUUCACAGGGGAAUCUCACUGUAAAAGGCGGACUUCCUGCUUCUGUUAUUGCAGAAUGUAUUUGGAAAUUGGAAUGAGAUACAUUUUUACUGUACACAAAUAAAUAAGUUGUUACAA